UGAACGCUGGCGGCAGGCCUAACACAUGCAAGUCGAGCGGAUGAAGGGAGCUUGCUCCUGGAUUCAGCGGCGGACGGGUGAGUAAUGCCUAGGAAUCUGCCUGGUGGUGGGGGAUAACGUCCGGAAACGGGCGCUAAUACCGCAUACGUCCUGAGGGAGAAAGUGGGGGAUCUUCGGACCUCACGCUAUCAGAUGAGCCUAGGUCGGAUUAGCUAGUUGGUGGGGUAAAGGCCUACCAAGGCGACGAUCCGUAACUGGCCUGAGAGGAUGAUCAGUCACACUGGAACUGAGACACGGUCCAGACUCCUACGGGAGGCAGCAGUGGGGAAUAUUGGACAAUGGGCGAAUGCCUGAUCCAGCCAUGCCGCGUGUGUGAAGAAGGUCUUCGGAUUGUAAAGCACUUUAAGUUGGGAGGAAGGGCAGUAAGUUAAUACCUUGCUGUUUUGACGUUACCAACAGAAUAAGCACCGGCUAACUUCGUG
rnacentral:rRNA from 1 species